ensembl:lncRNA PMS2P4 PMS1 homolog 2, mismatch repair system component pseudogene 4
GGGUAUUGAGUCCAUGGAGCGAGCUGAGAGCUAGAGUACAGAACCUGCUAAGGCCAUCAAACCUAUCGAUCGGAAGUCAGUCCAUCAGAUUUGCUCUGGGCCGGUGGUACUGAGUCUAAGCACUGCGGUGAAGGAGUUAGUAGAAAACAGUCUGGAUGCUGGUGCCACCAAUAUUGAUCUAAAGCUUAAGGACUAUGGAGUGGAUCUCAUUGAAGUUUCAGACAAUGGAUGUGGGGUAGAAGAAGAAAACUUUGAAGGCUUAAUCUCUUUCAGCUCUGAAACAUCACACAUGUAAGAUUCAAGAGUUUGCCAACCUAACUGAGGUUGAAACUUUCGGCUUUCAGGGGGAAGCUCUGAGCUCACUGUGUGCACUGAGCGAUGUCACCAUUUCUACCUGCCACGCAUCGGCGAAGGUUGGGACUCGACUGGUGUUUGAUCACGAUGGGAAAAUCAUCCAGAAAACCCCCUACCCCCACCCCAGAGGGACCACAGUCAGCGUGAAGCAGUUAUUUUCUACACUACCUGUGCACCAUAAGGAAUUUCAAAGGAAUAUUAAGAAGACGUGCCUGUUUCCCCUUCGCCUUCUGCCGUGAUUGUCAGUUUCCUGAGGCCUCCCCAGCCAUGCUUCCUGUACAGCCUGCAGAACUGACUCCUAGAAGGACCCCACCCCCCUCCCCCAACCCCUGCUCCCAGGAGGACACGUGAUCACUGUAUUCAGCUCCAUCAAGAAUGGUCCAGGUUCUUCUAGAUGAUCUGCACAAAUGGUUCCUCUUCUCCUUCCUGGUGUCUGCCAUUAGCAUUGGAAUAAAGUUCCUGCUGAAAAUC